rnacentral:tRNA from 1 species
GGUCGAGUAGUAUAGCGGUUAGAACGAUCGCCUCACAGCCCGGGCUGGGAGUCCGCGAUAGAUCCGGGUUCGACUCCCGGCUCGACUA